GCAAUGCACGAAAGUGUGACGGGGCUACCCCGAGUGCCAUCCGCUGAGGAUGGCUUUUCUUUGGUAUAACUAGCCAGGGGAAUAAGGAGAGGGCAAGACUGGUGUCAGCCGCCGCGGUAAUACCAGCUCUCCGAGUGGUAGGGAUGAUUAUUGGGCUUAAAGCGUCCGUAGCCGGCUUAGCAAGUCUCCUGUUAAAUUCAGCGACCUAAUCGUUGACCCGCGGGAGAUACUACUAGGCUAGGAGGCGGGAGAGGUCGACGGUACUUCUGGGGUAGGGGUGAAAUCCUAUAAUCCCGGGAGGACCACCAGUGGCGAAGGCUGUCGACUAGAACGCGCUCGACGGUGAGGGACGAAAGCUGGGGGAGCGAACCGGAUUAGAUACCCGGGUAGUCCCAGCCGUAAACGAUGCGGGCUAGGUGUUGGGGUGGCUACGGGCCACUUCAGUGCCGCAGGGAAGCCAUUAAGCCCGCCGCCUGGGGAGUACGGCCGCAAGGCUGAAACUUAA
rnacentral:rRNA from 1 species